AUAUAUAGUCUCUGGCGUGUCAGCUGUAUUAGCGAAGUGACUGAAUAAUAGCUUGAAAUACUCAGAAACAGCGCUGGCGCAAUCAAAAGUGUCAGAUAAUUUAAGACGGAACGGAAGGUCGCUGUUGGUACUGUCAUUAUGUUCGGCGGGGAUUAUACUUAAGUACUGUUGUUGGGCGUCAUGGUGGCAAAGACGAAAAAGGCAAAGUGUGCACAUUACACGGGAGUGAUGAGCAUUAAAAUUUGCGAACAAAAUGCUAUGCAGAUAAGGACAAAAUAAGGCGCUCUCAUAAACGAGCCGCGCUUUCUUGAAAAUGGGAUAAGCGCCGCUGAAUGGUUGUGAUACAUCAGUUUGAGAGUAAAUCAAGGACUGUUGCACGUCAAAAGACGUGAAAGACAGGACAAUUUCUGUGGAGUAGCACCAUCAUGUUAUGAAUGUUCCAUAACGCAAUAAAAUUUUUCAGCUUUCUGCUUAACGUACUGCACUUUUUACAACAUGAUAACCUCUGAACCUGCUGGUCGCAGGAGUCUGAGUUUUCACAUAGUCAAAAUAAGUGAGAUGUUCACUUGCUUCGACCUGGCGGUAAAUGAAGGGAAUAUCAAUGAAAGAGCUAAACGUUGUGUUUAUUGGUAGCAAUUACGAAGACUGGAUUGACAGUUCCUGCUACACAGUAUAAAAGUGCAAACACACUUGCUUUUGUUACGUGUUUCAAAUCAAUAAAGAGAAAAUAAUGCGUUUUCAUAUUCUGUAAUGAAUUACAUUCAUAUGAUUAGUGAAAAGCCAUCAACUGUAAAGAAUUCAAAUACUUUGUAAUAGCAGUGACAGCAGAUACCAUCCACUAUGUUUACUUGUUGAUUAAGGCCAUCUGUGAUCAUUGAAUAUUCAGAAAAGACUGAAGUUUGGCAAUAAGCUAUACACAGCACUAAUAUAGUUACCAUAUGUAUUGCCAAUAUUUUAGUGUACUUAUCUGAAAUUGUCUCGUGUUGAGAACAAUAUAUGUCUUCCAUUUUUGUGCUUGUGUGAAAAAUUUCCACAGUUAAAAUUAUUAUACUAGGAUUUAUAUUACACAUUAAAUGUACAGAAAAACACUUUAAAUGAUGUGCAAUAAUAUGUAUAUUUAUGGAGAUUUGUUUAAAUAAAACUAUUACAGUGGCAGACACAGA